UACAGAGGUCUCAACCGUUGUUCGGAUUCAUUGGGCGUAAAGGGUGCGUAGGCGGUCGCGUAAGUCAGGUGUGAAAUCCCGGGGCUCAACCCCGGAACUGCACUUGAUACUGCGUGGCUAGGGUACUGGAGAGGAGACUGGAAUUUACGGUGUAGCGGUGAAAUGCGUAGAUAUCGUAAGGAAGACCAGUGGCGAAGGCGAGUCUCUGGACAGCAACUGACGCUGAGGCACGAAGGCCAGGGGAGCAAACGGG
rnacentral:rRNA from 1 species